UCACACAUAUGCUUUUUGAGACUUGUUUAUGACACGUUUUUAUGACUUGGCUUCCCAGCACUUCCUCUGCAUUUACACCUAUAGCAGACAAUAAAGUUUCUGUCUGGCUUUUAUAUUCUGAUGGUCACCAUGUUCAGUCUGAGGCAAGCAGCUCUAGUUCUUAUUCAUCUGAUGAAAAUACAGAGUCUCUUUGAAGUAUCAGCCACUCAGACGGCACAUUCUAAUACGGUUGUGUCCAGCGGCGACCCGGUCACAUUUACUUGCAAUAUCUCUGGGAAUACCCCCAAGGAAAUCACCUGGACCGAUGGCAGAUAUCAUUUUGUGAAUAUUAGUCAAAAUCAGACAUUCUCAAAUUUCUCAACCGAAAGAGUUAAAAUAGACUCUGAGAUGCCUUUUAAGUUCAUUAUCUUCAGAGCUCAACAUAAUGAUGCAGGAUUUUACACAUGUAGUAUAACUGAUACAGAGGGCGUCCAUGAAAACACAUGGAAUUUAACUGUUUUGGAAAGAAACACACGGAAUUUAACUGUUUUGGAAAGACAAGGUUUGUUGAGACAAUAACAAUAUAGUAUUUAAUUGCAAUGACAUUACAGUUCACCAUCACCCUGCAUGAUACUGAAUACCUCUUUUUUUCAGGUAUAAAUUUCUCAAGGCAUGUGUUUUUUAUUUUAUCACCUUCCAUUGGAUUGAUUUUAUGUUGCUUCAUGCUGGUUGUCUGCCUCUGCAGGAAUUGUAGGAGGAGAAGAAAAUCCCAACAUUUAGGCGUUAACCAGUAUAUCCCGACUGAUCCAUCGGAUAGUUCAGAUUGCUGGAGGAGCAAGCAGCAGAGAAAGGGGUACAUUGAGAGAAUGAACUCAAUUUAUGGCUAUUUCUGAGCUGAGACCCCCUUCAGACAUAUCAAGGUGGAUAUAUGUGUUUGAUGAACAUUACCUGCAGUUUUCUUUAAAUAAGAGGAGACUCUAGAACAGCGGUCCCCAACCUUUUUUGCACCACAGACCGCUAUAUGUCAGACAAUAUUUUCACGGACCGGCCGGGGGUAAAUACGAUC